UCUCCUGAUUUUGCCGAUGACAUGCGCC
rnacentral:sRNA from 1 species